ACAGAACCAAACAUUUAAUCAAUAUUAAAAACGCCGAGAGUUGGAUGUCAGGAAGAACAGAAUAUAUUUCAACAACAGAUUCUGGGAAUGGAGAGGAGGAAGGGACCAGUAUUGUUGUCAUGGACAAUAAGGUU